GUUACCCCUUAUGUUUUUUUUCAUGAAGACCAAUAAAAUACGACAGUGUUCCCCCUUAUGUUUUUUUCAUGAUGACCAAUAAAAAACAACAGUGUUACCCCUUAUAUUUUUUUUUAAUGACGACCAAUACAAAACAACAGUGUUACCCCUUAUGGUUUUUUUCAUGACGACCAAAGACAAAAACGACAGUGUCACCCCUCAUGUUUCAUUUGAUAAAAACGACAGUGUUACCACUUAUGUUUUAAUUGAUAAAUAUGGACAUUGUUACCCCUUAUGUUUUUUUCAUGACGACCGAUAAAAAACAACAGUGUUACCCCUCAUGUUUUUUCCAUGUUGACCAAUAAAUAACAGCAGUGGCACCUCUGUCAACCUUUUGGCAGGGAUCCGAACAUGAGCUGUUUAGAGUGUUAACCUCAGAACUUAACAAUGCACCAUCAAGACACCGGAUAGGGUCAUCACAAAGGUUAUACUUGACUUUAUAAUUCACAUGAAAUAGAGAUAAGAGUCUUCCAACAGAAGAAAUAAACCGGACUUGAACGCCGGUCUCCAGGGGGUUAGCUCCCAGCUCUCUCCACUUCCCACUGCGAUUUAUGUUUUAAUUAUGUCUGAGGUUAUAUAUGACAGUGCAAAAAACAUGAUAGCAUGACGUUUAAAAUUAAAGAUAUUGUGUUUUCCACAGAUAUUGAGCCACGGUCUCCAGUGGGUUAGGCAGAGUGCACUCCACUGCACCACUGAGGCGAUGAAAAUACACAAUAAUCAAUCAUCAAUAAAGAGGAUAUACAUGACAUUAAAAUGUAUGUGUGUAUUUCUAUUAUUUCCCUUAUGGUUUUUUUCAUGACAACCAAUAAAAAACGACAGUGUUACCUCUUAUAUUUUAUUUGACAAAGACAACAGUGUUACCCCUUAUGUUUUUUUUCAUGACGACCAAUAAAAAACAACAGUUGUUACCCUUAUGUUUUUUUUUCAUGACGACCAAUAAAAAACAACAGUGUUACCCCUUAUGUUUUUUUUUCAUGACGACCAAUAAAAAACAAGUGUUACCCUUAUGUUUUUUUUCAUGACGACCAAUAAAAAAUAACAGUGUUACCCCUUAUGUUUUUUUUCAUGACGACCAAUAAAAAACAACAUUGUUACCCCUUAUGUUUUUUUUCAUGACGACCAAUAAAAAACAACAGUGUUACCCCUUAUGGUUUUUUUUCAUGACGACGAAAGAAAAACGACAGUGUCACCCCUUAUGUUUUUUUCAUUGACGACCAAUAAAAAACAACAGUGUUACCCCUUAUGUUUAUUUUCAUAACGACCAAUAAAAAACAACAGUGUUACCCCUUAUGUUUAUUUUCAUGACGACCAAUAAAAAACAACAGUGUUACCCCUUAUGGUUUUUUUCAUGACGACCAAUAAAAAACAACGGUGUUACCCCUUAUGUUUUUUUUCAUGACGACCAAUAAAAAACAACAGUGUUACCCCUUAUGUUUUUUUUCAUGACGACCAAUAAAAAACAACAGUGUUACCCCUUAUGUUUUUUUUCAUGACGACCAAUAAAAAACAACACUGUUACCCCUUAUGUUUUUUUUCAUGACGACCAAUAAAAAACAACACUGUUACCCCUUAUGGUUUUUUUCAUGACGACCAAUAAAAAACAACAGUGUUACCCCUUAUGUUUUUUUUCAUGACGACCAAUAAAAAACAACAGUGUUUCCCCUUAUGUUUUUUUUCAUGACGACCAAUAAAAAACAACAGUGUUACCCCUUAUGUUAUUUUUCAUGACGACCAAUAAAAAACAACAGUGUUACCCCUUAUGUUUUUUUUCAUGACGACCAAUAAAAAACAACAGUGUUACCCCUUAUGUUUUUUUUCAUGACGACCAAUAAAAAACGACAGUGUUACCCCUUAUGGGUUUUUUCAUGACGACCAAAGAAAAACAACAGUGUUCCCCUACGAAUCACUGCCAGAGACCGCACUGCGAGUGAUUGACAGAAGGCAGGGCUAUAUUCGCACUGAAGCGAUGAGUGUCUGUUAACUCGCUUUCCGAGAGAAGAGAAGACAGCGCGCUGACAUACUUCUAUUUUGUGUGAUUUUGCGGAACAAAAGGUUGUUCUGCAGUUUCUAAAAACAUUUGAAUAAAUAGCCUUUAUAUUAACAUCCACCCAAAAUCCACUUGCCCGUUCGGGCAACCAGAAAAAAUCUCAACUUGCCCAAACAUUUUUUUUACUUGCCCCGGGCAAGCGGGCAACCGUAAGUGUCAUUGGCUGAACUAUAUAUUGCAUCCAUCUCUACUCCGUCUCUACUCUCACCCGAGGGAAUCCCGUGAUGUUUGUGAUUGAAGUCUCAAUGAUCUGAAUAAACUUGCCCAGAGCUCCAUAUCCAGCCUGGGUGGUUGUUAGUGUGUGCUGUGAUGAUGAAAUCAUUUAAAACUGAUCUGUUCUGUAGAGGCCUUCUGAUAUAUUGACUCAACAUCACCCUCCAAAGCAUUCUGCCAAACAACUUAUGAACCAUUUAACCCAUAAUGCCCACUCAAAAACAUCCUAGAAAGUACAAAAAUAGAUAUAUCUGGCCCUGAGAGACAACAGCUUUGGUUAAACAUUAUGUAUUUACACAUCAUUCAGGGUCGCACACCGGUGAGCUAUGAAGCGCCCAUGUACUUUAUAUGCACAGUAAAAGUAAAUUAAUACAAGAUGGAGGCUUUUUCUCAUUAGAAAAAACAUUCACAUGUCCUUUAAAAAAAACAACUGAUUGUUUGUUAAAAAGAAAGGAAGAAAGUGUUAAAAAUAGAGACAUAAUUGCCCAUUUCAUUUCACCACAUUUGUCCGUUAAACAAAUCAACCUGAAGAAUCUCCCUGGGGGGCCUCUUCAGUUUUCCUUCUAUUUACACAUUUACACACAAGCCCCCCCCCCAAGGGGGGACCGGGGAUCCAGCUACCCCCCUCCCGGUCUCCCUCC
ensembl:lncRNA